AUUGAACGCUGGCGGCAGGUCUAACACAUGCAAGUCGAGCGGAGCGGCGGACGGGUGAGUAAUGCCUAGGCAUCUGCCUGGUAGUGGGGGAUAACGUCCGGAAACGGGCGCUAAUACCGCAUACUAUCAGAUGAGCCUAGGUCGGAUUAGCUAGUUGGGGGGGUAAAGGCCUACCAAGGCGACGAUCCGUAACUGGUCUGAGAGGGUAAUCAGUCAACCGGGAACUGAGACACGGUCCGGACUCCAACGGGAGGCGGCAGUGGGGAAUAUUGGACAAUGGGCGAAAGCCUGAUCCAGCCAUGCCGCGUGUGUUAAGAAGGUCUUCGGAUGGUAAAGCACUUUAAGUUGGGAGGCGUUACCAACAGAAUAAGCACCGGCUAACUUCGUGCCAGCCGCCGCGGUAAUAC
rnacentral:rRNA from 1 species